rnacentral:rRNA from 1 species
CUCCUAAGGCUAAAUACUCUCUAGUGACCGAUAGUGAACCAGUACCGUGAGGGAAAGGUGAAAAGCACCCCGGAAGGGGAGUGAAAUAGAACCUGAAACCGUGUGCUUACAAGUAGUCAGAGCCCGUUAAUGGGUGAUGGCGUGCCUUUUGUAGAAUGAACCGGCGAGUUACGAUUUGAUGCAAGGUUAAGCAGUAAAUGUGGAGCCGUAGCGAAAGCGAGUCUGAAUAGGGCGUUUAGUAUUUGGUCGUAGACCCGAAACCAGGUGAUCUACCCUUGGUCAGGUUGAAGUUCAGGUAACACUGAAUGGAGGACCGAACCGACUUACGUUGAAAAGUGAGCGGAUGAACUGAGGGUAGCGGAGAAAUUCCAAUCGAACCUGGAGAUAGCUGGUUCUCUCCGAAAUAGCUUUAGGGCUAGCCUCAAGUGAUGAUUAUUGGAGGUAGAG